AUAACAAAAAGUCAUGUUAAAACUAACAUGGACACAAUGACGAUGAUAUUUGUUUCAUUCAGCAAUGUUUUCAGGACAUAAUCUAUCGUAUCUAAUCUCCCUUAGUAAAUCGCGUUCGGAUCUAUUUGCGUUCGGCGUACCGAUUGAAAACAAGCCUGACGGGGUGAGAGAAUGGAAUUAACCAUUCUGUGAAGUGGGCGGCUGAUAUAUUUAACACAAUCGUCGUCGUGGGACAUUCCUCCUUACUUCCUCGUAACCGGGAACCUAAUUUUUUUACGAUUUUUUUUUGUAUUUUAUGUACUCUUUAUAUUUGUAUUUUGAAUGAAAGAAAACUGCAGAAAGAAAGACUUAUAGUUCGCUUCAAAUGCAAGAAAGAAAAAGUAAAAUACGUGACUUGUCAACUACAUGGCGAUGAAAAAUUGUAUCGGCAAUUGUUGAACACAUCCAGCGUAAUCGACAACAUGCUCACCGAAUUGGUUAUCGCUGAAGGAAGGACGAAGAUAACAUCAGCCGACCAAACGAUUUAUCUCAUAGUUGUUAUACGUAUUUCAUCGUACGACUACUGGUCUCCCGUUAUCUCUCGCGAAUUUUCCAUUUUGUCCUGCCAAGAAUAAAUUAAUAAGUAAUUCUCCAGACGUCUAAAAAUAUGUAAUAAAUAAGAAAAUACGAAUACAUCAAAGAUUUUUUUCAUCUUUUUUUUCAACAUAUUUAUUAUCCAUAAAAUUUAUUAUCCAAUUGGCCGACGUUCAAAAGGUCGUAAGGUUUUCGCAACAACAUUUCGAAUGCGAGGCACAUAUUUCUGCAUUUGACUUUCCGAUGUGUCAUUGUCUUAUUGCUGUACGCGACUGGCGUAAAGCAAAGUGUUUGCUUCAAGUUAUCGGCUGCACCUAUAAAUCGUUAAUCUGAAGAGUCUCAUACGGGCUCCUUCCGGCGCUUGCUUCAGUUCAGUCGAGUACUCUGGGUACAGAUUCGUUGCGACCAAC